CAAUUAAACUAAAACACUUGUAUUAUGAAUUAAUCAGUUUUUCAACCCUCUGCCAAAUCAUUAAAUUAUCUAAUAAAAUGACCACAUCUAAUUAAGUGGAUCAAACACCACCAAAUUGAAUUUCUCAAUACCACAAUCAUAGAGCUCCUACCCGCAAUACUCAAAGAAAAAUAAGCUUACAGAGAGAUAAUAAAACUUUUUCGAAUAAUAACAUCGAAUAGCAUUGAACCCCAUUAUUGCAAAUUCAUUUGAAAAAUCCCAACUAAUCUGACUGAUGCAUUCCUAUUUUAGUUGUUUAACAGUGGAGCUUAUUCUAGGAGAUUUCAGAUGGAGAUCGAUGGAAAGAUGGGUUUGGAUCGACUAAUUGUUGUUGGUUUUGGUGAAAGUUCACCGAGAUUGACUGAAAUGGGUCAGUUUUGGUUGAUUUAGUCAUUGGUUUUGUUAUUUCUAGUGGGAUUUUAUCUAAAAAGAAGGAUGGGAGUGGCUAUUUGGUGUGAGUUUGGUCAGAGCAGGCAGCGGAUUUAUUGCUGAAAUCAUAACAAAUGAUAACUAUAGGUUUCUCGAUGGAGGUGGGUGGAUGGGUUGGUCGUUGAUUCUAUGGUUUUUACCGAUAGAACCUCAUCAAAAUUACACCAACGGGGUCAAUUUUGGAGAUUUUGAGGUAGAGCAGGUGGUUUCCCAAAGGAAGUCACCGACAACACCCUCUAAAUAGGUUUUUCGAUCGUCAAUGGAGAGAGUUCUCCAUUACUUUUAUUCUUUCCUGUGUUUCGCUCGUUCUUUCUAUCUUUUUCUCUCUUUUACGUGUUUUUCUCCUAUUUUCUACUUCCUGUCUGAUCUCCCUCUCUUUUAUAUCUCCUGUAUUUUACGUGUGAG
rnacentral:lncRNA from 1 species